UACGUAGGGUCCAAGCGUUAAUCGGAAUUACUGGGCGUAAAGCGUGCGCAGGCGGUUGUGUAAGUCAGAUGUGAAAUCCCCGGGCUCAACCUGGGAAUUGCAUUUGUGACUGCAUCGCUGGAGUGCGGCAGAGGGGGAUGGAAUUCCGCGUGUAGCAGUGAAAUGCGUAGAUAUGCGGAGGAACACCGAUGGCGAAGGCAAUCCCCUGGGCCUGCACUGACGCUCAUGCACGAAAGCGUGGGGAGCAAACAGG
rnacentral:rRNA from 1 species